rnacentral:lncRNA from 1 species
CAGUUUAGAACCAAUAAAACUUAACCAAAACAUCAAAACAGAAAAAGGGAGGUAUAGAAAAUUGAGGAUAUCGUAAAAGAGUGGAUUCAAUAUCUGCAUAGUUUGACCUAAUCGUCAACAAAAUAAGUAAGUAAAAAUCAUAAAAAAUUAAAAAGUUUAAAUCUCACCAUCGAAAAAGAGAUCUUGCAUAUAUCAUCCUUUGAAAUAUAUCAUAGUUUGCAUACAAACCUGAAUCGAUAAAAAUAUUUUAAAAAAUACUUUACGAUUCAGGUGUGUUUGCAA